rnacentral:rRNA from 1 species
CUCCGAGGAGGCGAGACUACCCGCUGAAUUAACUUAGUAUGGGGGGAGGAGAGAGAGAAACAAUUUAAUUAUA